CCCUUAGAUGUUCUGGGCUGCACGCGCGCUACACUGAAGCGUUCAACGAGUAUUCACCUUGCCCGGGAGGGUUGGGUAAUCUUUUCAAAACGCUUCGUGAUGGGGAUAGAUUAUUGCAAUUAUUAAUCUUCAACGAGGAAUUCCUAGUAAGCGCGAGUCAUCAGCUCGUGCUGAUUACGUCCCUGCCCUUUGUACACACCGCCCGUCGCUCCUACCGAUUGAGUGAUCUGGUGAAUAAUUCGGACUGCAGCAGGCCUGGUCUCCGGGUUUUGCAGCGGAAAGUUUAGUGAACCUUAUCACUUAGAGGAAGGAGAAGUCGUAACA
rnacentral:rRNA from 1 species